UUCCUCUUUUUCUUUUUUUGAAGCUAGUUGUGAUAUUUCUUUAAAACAUGCAAAAAAAGAGUGUUAUACAGCAAUACAAAGUGACAGUAUUCUGAUCUUUGUCACAUGAUUUUGUGGCUCUGGAGAUUUCUUAGAGUAAAAUCUGUGUAGGUGUUCUUGUGAGUCCAAUUCAUUUGAUAAAGUGAAAUUCCUUCUUAACAUUUUCCUAACUUCAGAGAGUUGAGAUACCUACCUGAAGUGUUAACAAAAAUGACUCGUCUGUGCCUCCUCAGGGGCAGGUGACUAAAACCCAAAAUGUUUAGGAGUGGAAGAAUAGAGUUUGGAGAUGCAUCUCCUUUUGCAUGUGUGUAGAGUUGAAUUAAUAGAGUGGAAGUUCUUAUGUGGUGGAUCCUGAACAGGGAAUGAUGUAGCAUCACUUCGAUAAAUUAGGAGGAAGGUGUGUUGAUCUGUGAUGUGUUUAUAUGUGCAUUUUAAUCCCCAGUAUGAGCAAUUUGCUCUUACUUUGAAACCAAAAAGUUUGGCCAUUACUUGGGUAAAGUAGCAUCUUUAAUUUGCUGUUUUCUCGUGAAGAGUCAUGUACUUCAGAACUGGUGCUGUCAUUACUCCAUGCAGUUGUUUUGUCAGAGAAGCUGCCUACCAAAGAAAAGCUUGUGAAAAGGAAAGCUGUGAACAUGCUGACUAAUUUUGGCCUAAGCAAAAUGCAAUGAGCUAAAUGCUUCAAAAUUUUGUUUUAAAAAAGAUCUUGAAGUAAAAAUAUAAACCAUUUUUGUUCUGCUUUUAGUGAAGUGAGAGCUUUACGUUUUUUCCUGUAACCAUACCUAAGGAUUUGAGGUUUCAAUGAUUCUGUUUUUGACACUAGUUAUCUUAUAUCUGCUUAUUGCAGUAAUCUGAGGAUCAGCCUUUCAGUUAAAGGAAAAAAUAAUCAUUUGAAAAAAUAACCAUAGUAAUAGGUGUGUUAGCAUUAGAUUUUACUGGUUUCAAACUAAGUUAGUGUGUUAAUUUGCCAUUUUUGGAGCUUUACCACAAAAAAAGAUCUCAACCUAGUUAACCUUCCAAUAAAAAAA